rnacentral:rRNA from 1 species
GACGAACGCUGGCGGCGUGCCUAAUACAUGCAAGUCGAGCGAAUGACGAGACGCUUGCUUCUCUGAUUUAGCGGCGGACGGGUGAGUAACACGUGGGCAACCUGCCCUACAGAUUGGGAUAACUCAGGGAAACCUGGGCUAAUACCGAAUAAUCCUUCGAAUCACAUGUUUUGAAGUUGAUAGGCGCUUCGGCGUCACUGUAGGAUGGGCCCGCGGUGCAUGAGCUGGUUGGUGGGGUAACGGCCUACCAAGGCAAGGAUGCAUAGCCGACCCGGGAGGGUGAUCGGCCACAUUGGGACUGAGACACGGCCCAAACUCCUACGGGAGGCAGCAGUAGGGAAUCUUCCACAAUGGACGAAAGUCUGAUGGAGCAACGCCGCGUGAGUGAUGAAGGUUUUCGGAUCGUAAAACUCUGUUGUAAGGGAAGAACAAGUACGUUAGGAAAUGAACGUACCUUGACGGUACCUUAUUAGAAAGCCACGGCUAACUACGUGCCAGCCGCCGCCGUAA